rnacentral:rRNA from 1 species
GACGAACGCUGGCGGCGUGCUUAACACAUGCAAGUCGAACGAUGAAGCCGGAGCUUGCUCUGGUGAAUUAGUGGCGAACGGGUGAGUAACACGUGAGUAACCUGCCCUUGACUCUGGGAUAACUGCUAGAAAUGGUAGCUAAUACCGGAUACGACCCUCGGCGGCAUCGCCAGGGGGUGGAAAGAAUUUCGGUCAAGGAUGGACUCGCGGCCUAUCAGCUAGUUGGUGAGGUAACGGCUCACCAAGGCGACGACGGGUAGCCGGCCUGAGAGGGUGACCGGGCAAACUGGGACUGAGACACGGCCCAGACUCCUACGGGAGGCAGCAGUGGGGAAUAUUGCACAAUGGGCGCAAGCCUGAUGCAGCAACGCCGCGUGAGGGAUGACGGCCUUCGGGUUGUAAACCUCUUUUAGUAGGGAAGAAGCGAAAGUGACGGUACCUGCAGAAAAAGCACCGGCUAACUACGUGCCAGCCGCCGCAGUAA